AUUGAACGCUGGCGGCAGGCCUAACACGUGCAAGUCGAACGGUAACAGGAAACAGCUUGCUGUUUCGCUGACGAGUGGCGGACGGGUGAGUAAUGUCUGGGAAACUGCCUGAUGGAGGGGGAUAACUACUGGAAACGGUAGCUAAUACCGCAUAACGUCGCAAGACCAAAGAGGGGGACCCUCGGGCCUCUUGCCAUCGGAUGUGCCCAGAUGGGAUUAGCUUGUUGGUGGGGUAACGGCUCACCAAGGCGACGAUCCCUAGCUGGUCUGAGAGGAUGACCAGCCACACUGGAACUGAGACACGGUCCAGACUCCUACGGGAGGCAGCAGUGGGGAAUAUUGCACAAUGGGCGCAAGCCUGAUGCAGCCAUGCCGCGUGUAUGAAGAAGGCCUUCGGGUUGUAAAGUACUUUCAGCGGGGAGGAAGGGAGUAAAGUUAAUACCUUUGCUCAUUGACGUUACCCGCAGAAGAAGCACCGGCUAACCCCGUG
rnacentral:rRNA from 1 species